GCCCUUCCAACCGCGCGUUCCCUCGCCUAUAUUCACUUCUGCCGGGGCAACCCGGCUAUGGCAAUAAACGGCCAUCGCAAUAAGCCUAUCGGACCCGGGGGCAGUACCCGGCGCCUCCACCAUCAGGACCCCUCAGGGGUGCUGGUGAUGGGGGCGAAACAGGAUCGACGAGGGUGUAAAGGGUGUUCUUUUGCUCGGCAUUGUUCCACCGUUAUCGGGCUAUCUCAAUAGUUGCCAACGACAACUAUGCUCCGGUCGCCGUUGCCGCGUAACGCGGUAAAGGUACCGAAAUCAAAGUCCUUGCGGGUAGCACUGUAAGGCGGGGUUCGGAGGCACCUGGCAACAGAAGCCUCCACU
rnacentral:tmRNA from 1 species